rnacentral:rRNA from 1 species
GACAGAGGGUGCGAACGUUGUUCGGAAUUACUGGGCGUAAAGCGCGUGUAGGCGGCAAUGCAAGUCGGGCGUGAAAUCCCACGGCUCAACCGUGGAAGUGCACUCGAAACUGCAUAGCUAGAGUCCUGGAGAGGAAGGUGGAAUGCUUGGUGUAGAGGUGAAAUUCGUAGAUAUCAAGCGGAACACCGGUGGCGAAGGCGGCCCGCUGGGCAGUGACUGACGCUGAGGCGCGACAGCGUGGGGAGCAAACAGG